rnacentral:rRNA from 1 species
AACGAACGCUGGCGGCAGGCCUAACACAUGCAAGUCGAGCGGGCGUAGCAAUACGUCAGCGGCGGACGGGUGAGUAACACGUGGGAAUAUGCCUUUCGGUUUGGAACAACUCGGGGAAACCCGUCGCUAAUUCCGGAUACGCCCUUAGGGGGAAAGGAUUUAUCGCCGAAAGAUUAGCCCGCGUCCGAUUAGCUAGUUGGUGAGGUAACGGCCCACCAAGGCGACGAUCGGUAGCUGGUUUGAGAGAACGACCAGCCACACUGGGACUGAGACACGGCCCAGACUCCUACGGGAGGCAGCAGUGGGGAAUCUUGGACAAU